rnacentral:tRNA from 1 species
GCCCCGGUAGUGUAGCGGCCUAUCAUGCGGGCCUGUCGUAGCCCCUUUCUUAGAAAGAAAGCGGCUUUACCCGGAAAGAAAGGGGUUAUAGAUAGCCCGCGACCCGGGUUCAAAUCCCGGCCGGGGCG